UUAUAGUAGAGUUUGAUCCUAGCUCAGGAUGAACGCUGGCGGCGUGGAUAAGGCAUGCAAGUCGAACGGACUUUAUUUUUCCAGAGAAUGAGAUUACAUCAAGUUCAAAGGUCGUUUAAAGUUAGUGGCGAACGAGGUAGUAAUACACAGGAAUGUACCCCUGAGUCGCGAACAACACAUCGAAAGGUGUGCUAAUACGCGAUAGUCUCUCAGGAGUAAAGUUUUUCGCUUAGGGAACAGCCUGUGAAGUAUCAGCUAGUUGGCAGUGUAAUGGACUACCAAGGCUAUGACGCUUAGGGGAGGUGAGAGCCUGACCCCCACCGAUGGGACUGAGACACGGCCCAUACACCUACGGGUGGCUGCAGUCGAGAAUCUUCCACAAUGGACGAAA
rnacentral:rRNA from 1 species